rnacentral:rRNA from 1 species
AACGAACGCUGGCGGCAUGCCUAACACAUGCAAGUCGAACGAGACCUUCGGGUCUAGUGGCGCACGGGGGCGGAACGCGGGGGAACCUGCCCUUAGGUUCCGAAUAACUCCCCGAAAGGGGUGCUAAUACCGGAUAAUGUCUUCGGACCAAAGAUUUAUCGCCUUUGGAUGGGCGCGCGUUGGAUUAGCUGGUUGGUAGGGUAAAAGCCUACCAAGGCGACGAUCCAUAGCUGGUCGGAGAGGAGGACCAGCCAGGCUGGGACUGCGACACGGCCCAGACUGGUACGGGAGGCAGCAGUGGGGAAUAUAGGACGAGGGGCGAAAGUCUGAUCCAGCAAUGCCGCGUGAGUGAUGAAGGCGGUAGGGUUGUGAAGCUCUUUUAGCCGGGGUGAUAAUGACGGUACCGGGAGAAUAAGCACCGGCUAACUCCGUG